AUGGGCAUUUUGGUCUUUUCACAUGUACAGCCCUGCUCCCAUUCCUCCCUCGCAGGAAACCUAGCCGCCGCCUUCUCCCACUCGUCAUCCUCCAAUCACGCCGCGCUCGCACUUCCCCUGCCGCGCAGCCACCGCCGCGCAGCCGUCACUCCCCCUCAAGGUCACGCCCCUCCCCUCCCCCUUCUACCCUCUCCUCCUCGCCGUUUUCUCUUGCCUCUCUCCUCUUUGUUGUUGUCUGCCCAAGAUGCGGUCACCCCGCUCGCAUCUCCCUCCCCUCCACACCCCACCAGCGCCCCGCGUCUCUCUCGCCGGAGCGGCUGGCAGAAGGCGGAGAGGACGACCGCCACCCACUACCACCGCCACCGGCGUCGCGGCAGGCGCCCACCGCGUUCCCCACGUCGCCGUCACCGCCGUAGUCCGAUCCGAGGCAGGAGGCGGAGAGAACGACCGCCACCCACCACCACCAUCACCGGCGCCGCGGCAGGCGCCCACCGCGUUCCCCACGCCGCCGUCGCCGCCGCAGUCCGGUCCGAUCCGAUUCGACCCGACCCACCGACCGACAGGCCGACUUGGCCACGCUGCUGCUCCUUCUCCUUCAACCUACUACUGCUGAUCCCUGCCUCGCUGCUCCUCCUUCUCCUCUCAAUGUUGUUGCUGCCCAUCGGCUUACAACUGCUGCCUCUUCUCUCCUCCUUGGUUCGUCGUGUGCUUUCGCAUUGCAUUGGUGCCGCUCGAACUUUGCUUGUGUCUGGACGCAUGCGCGUCUGGGUCGUCGUGGGUACCGCGUACGACUGGGUCGUGUCGCAGCUCGAUUUCGAUUCUACUUUGUCGAUCGCCAUGGGCAAAACUCCCAAAAUGAGGAUGGGUGUGCUAUCGCGGAAGGUCCUGCCGGCUUGCGGGGCCCUAUGCUACUUCUGCCCUGGGCUCAGGGCACGGUCCAGGCAACCCGUUAAGCGGUACAAGAAGAUCCUUGCCGAAAUCUUCCCCAGAACACAGGACGAAGAACCAAAUGAUAGGAGGAUCGGGAAGCUGUGCGAGUACGCCGCCAAGAACCCUCUUAGAGUGCCCAAGCAUAUCACAGUUUACUUGGAGCAAAGGAUUUACAAGGAAUUAAGAGCCGAGCAGCAUGGUUUUGCAAAAGUGGUGAUGCUGAUAUACCGCGGACUGCUGGUGUCUUGCAAAGGACAAAUAAACAUGAAGAGCACCCUGUUCUGCGCUCCGAGCAAGCGCCACCGAUGCUACAAUAUAUCAAAGAGUCCAGACCAAAAUGAAGCCUUCCCGUGCGUUUGGAUUUUCAGCCGUUGGAUUGGCUGUCCAAAACGAUCCAGACCGUCGGAUGUUCAGACGGAGCAAUCUGGGUCGUCGGAUCGAAUUGUGCAUCCUCUGGUGUGCCACCGCCUGUUAUUUCGGUGCCCCCCAUUGGGCAUUUUGGUCAUUUCACGUGUACAACCCUGCUCCCAUUCCUCCCUCGCAGGAAACCUAGCCGUCGCCCUCUCCCACUCGUCCUCCUCCCAUCAUACCGCGCUCGCACUUCCCUGCCGAACAGUCGCCGCCGCGCAGCCGCCACUCCCCCUUGAGGUCACGCCCCUCCCCUCCCCCUCCUACCCUCUCCUCCUCGCCGUUUUCUCCUGCCUCUCUCCUCUUUGUUGUUGUCUGCCCAAGAUGCGGUCACCCCACCCGCAUCUCCCUCCCCUCCACACCCCACCCGCGCCCGCGUCUCUCUCACCGGAGCGGUUGGCAGAAGGCGGAGAGGACGACCGCCACCCACCACCACCGCCACCGGCUCCGCGGCAGGCGCCCACCGCGUUCCCCACGUCGCUGUCGCCGCCAUAG
rnacentral:rRNA from 1 species